rnacentral:rRNA from 1 species
AUACGUAGGGGGCGAGCGUUGUCCGGAAUGAUUGGGCGUAAAGGGCGCGUAGGCGGCCUGUUAAGUCUGGAGUGAAAGUCUUGUUUUCAAGAUGGGAAUUGCUUUGGAUACUGAUGGGCUUGAGUGCAGGAGAGGUAAGUGGAAUUCCCAGUGUAGCGGUGAAAUGCGUAGAGAUUGGGAGGAACACCAGUGGCGAAGGCGACUUACUGGACUGUAACUGACGCUGAGGCGCGAAAGUGUGGGGAGCAAACAGGAUUAGAUACCCUGGUAGUCCACACUGUAAACGAUGAAUGCUAGGUGUAGGGGGUAUCGACCCCUUCUGUGCCGCAGUCAACACAAUAAGCAUUCCGCCUGGGGAGUACGGCCGCAAGGUUGAAACUCAAAUGAAUUGACGGGG